UACAGAGGUCUCGAGCGUUAGGCGGAAUCACUGGGCUUAAAGCGUGUGUAGGUGGAUCGUUAAGUACCUUGUGAAAUCCCACGGCUUAACCGUGGAACUGCUUGGUAUACUGGCGGUCUUGAGCCAGCUAGGGGCUACCGGAACAAAUGGUGGAGCGGUGAAAUGCGUAGAUAUCUGGAGGAACACCGGUGGCGAAGGCGGCAUCCUGGACCGGUAUUGACGCUGAUGCGCGAAAGCCAGGGGAGCAAACGGG
rnacentral:rRNA from 1 species